GACGAACGCUGGCGGCGUGCUUAACACAUGCAAGUCGAACGGAAAGGCCCUGCUUUUGUGGGGUGCUCGAGUGGCGAACGGGUGAGUAACACGUGAGUAACCUGCCCUUGACUUUGGGAUAACUUCAGGAAACUGGGGCUAAUACCGGAUAGGAGCUCCUGCUGCAUGGUGGGGGUUGGAAAGUUUCGGCGGUUGGGUAUGGACUCGCGGCUUAUCAGCUUGUUGGUUGGGUAGUGGCUUACCAAGGCUUUGACGGGUAGCCGGCCUGAGAGGGUGACCGGCCACAUUGGGACUGAGAUACGGCCCAGACUCCUACGGGAGGCAGCAGUGGGGAAUAUUGCACAAUGGGCGGAAGCCUGAUGCAGCAACGCCGCGUGCGGGAUGACGGCCUUCGGGUUGUAAACCGCUUUCGCCUGUGACGAAGCGUGAGUAACGGUAAUGGGUAAAGAAGCACCGGCUAACUACGUG
rnacentral:rRNA from 1 species